rnacentral:rRNA from 1 species
GACGAACGCUGGCGGCGUGCUUAACACAUGCAAGUCGAACGGAAAGGCCCUGCUUUUGUGGGGUGCUCGAGUGGCGAACGGGUGAGUAACACGUGAGUAACCUGCCCUUGACUUUGGGAUAACUUCAGGAAACUGGGGCUAAUACCGGAUAGGAGCUCCUGCUGCAUGGUGGGGGUUGGAAAGUUUCGGCGGUUGGGGAUGGACUCGCGGCUUAUCAGCUUGUUGGUGGGGUAGUGGCUUACCAAGGCUUUGACGGGUAGCCGGCCUGAGAGGGUGACCGGCCACAUUGGGCCUGAGAUACGGCCCAGACUCCUACGGGAGGCAGCAGUGGGGAAUAUUGCACAAUGGGCGGAAGCCUGAUGCAGCAACGCCGCGUGCGGGAUGACGGCCUUCGGGUUGGAAACCGCUUUCGCCUGUGACGAAGCGUGAGUGACGGUAAUGGGUAAAGAAGCACCGGCUAACUACGU